CCUACGGGGGGCAGCAGUAGGGAAUUUUUUUCAAUUUUCUCCAUCCUGAACGAGCGAUGCCGCGUGAGUGAAGAAGGCCUUCGGGUCGUAAAGCUCUGUUGCGGGGGAAAAAAGGCAGCAUCAGGAAAUGGGUGCUGACUGAUGGUGCCCCGCCAGAAAGUCACGGCUAACUACGUGCCAGCAGCCGCGGUAAUACGUAGGUGGCGAGCGUUAUCCGGAAUGAUUGGGCGUAAAGGGUGCGCAGGCGGUCCUGCAAGCCUGGAGUGAAACGCAUGAGCUCAA
rnacentral:rRNA from 1 species